rnacentral:misc_RNA from 1 species
AUGAAUAUCGAAUCGGUUGUCUGUGCUGGUGGCAACACAUGUGCACGUCGAUCGUAAUUCCAUCCUCCUUUCAAUCGUCCAAGUGUGUGUUUGGUCGACCUCGGUCGGAGAGUCAUGGCCCUUGGGCUUGAUUCGUUCCAGAUGCGCCUUGGUUAUUUCACCCACUCUGGGUAUCAGAAACAAAGAAAAUCUUAUAUAAACUAUA